rnacentral:lncRNA from 1 species
AAUAACAUUCAUUUCAGUGUUUUCUGUAACGACACAAGUAUGUCAUCAAUGUACAUCAUUGGAAGCAUUUAAUGGAAUAUGACAAACAUAAAUUUCAUUUGAUUGCGUGAUGGAAAGAAGAACACUAAUACUUAUUGGAUAGAACAGUCUAAUCAUGGUUACGCUUUGUCAAUCGACAGAGUCCAUCUUGUCUCGGCUAAGUCCUACAUCCGUAGACAAACCAGAAUCCCCGUAUCUUCUACGCAAAGCAAGGUAAGAACG